UACGGGGGGGGUAAGCGUUGUUCGGAAUUACUGGGCGUAAAGGGCUCGUAGGCGGCCAACUAAGUCAGACGUGAAAUCCCUCAGCUUAACUGGGGAACUGCGUCUGAUACUGGAUGGCUUGGAUUCGGGAGAGGAAUGCGGAAUUCCAGGUGUAGCGGUGAAAUGCGUAGAUAUCUGGAGGAACACCGGUGGCGAAGGCGGCAUUCUGGACCGAUAUGACGCUGAGGAGCGAAAGCCAGGGGAGCAAAGCGGG
rnacentral:rRNA from 1 species